CCUACGGGAGGCAGCAGUAGGGAAUAUUGCUCAAUGGGGGAAACCCUGAAGCAGCAACGCCGCGUGGAGGAUGAAGGUUUUAUGAUUGUAAACUCCUUUUUUUAGAGAAGAUUAUGACGUUAUCUAACGAAUAAGCACCGGCUAACUCCGUGCCAGCAGCCGCGGUAAUACGGAGGGUGCAAGCGUUACUCGGAAUCACUGGGCGUAAAGAGUGCGUAGGCGGGGUAAUAAGUCAGAUGUGAAAUCCUGUGGCUUAACUACAGAACUGCAUUUGAAACUGUUACUCUGGAGUGUGGGAGAGGUAGGUGGAAUUCUUGGUGUAGGGGUAAAAUCCGUAGAGAUCAAGAGGAAUACUCAUUGCGAAGGCGACCUGCUGGAACAUUACUGACGCUGAUGCACGAAAGCGUGGGGAGCAAACAGGAUUAGAUACCCCAGUAGUC
rnacentral:rRNA from 1 species